UGAGGUGCCAUAGUAUUCCAUCACAAUCAUAUACCACAAAUUGUUUAGCCAUUUCCCAAAUGAUGGACAUUGGAAUAGGAAGAGGAAGUUUGCAAAAUGACUUUGCAAUGUAAACUUCCAAGUGAUUGACAGGGGCAUGUGACAGUCACAUGGGAGCCUGGAGUCAAGAUCUGGGUGAAGAUUCCAAGGUCCCAACUGAAGAAAGCUCUCUAUCCUGAAGGAGGUUUGGAGAUUAGAGGUUUUUCCAUCUAUAUACCAGAUUUCUGGCCUUUUGGUGAUACGAGCUGAAGAGAGAGGAAUCCUGUUUGAACUAGCUGCUGGCAGCUGGACAAAGACUAAAGACCCACUUCUCUACUGGACAGUUUCAUCUGAAGAUUGGACUCCAUUUGAUUGCUACAUAUUUGCUUAUAUGUGACUUCAUCUGCAAGAAACAAUAGCAAAAAUGCAGAAAACCUUCUCCACUUCACAACAAUUCAAGAAGUAAAACCUUUCCGAAGCCCACUUUCACAUACUUGAGGUUUUUUUCAAGUAAUAGCCUUGCAGUUCUCCAGGCCCUCCUGAGAAGUGGGGAUAGAAGAGAGAUGGAAAGAAGAAACCAAGAUCACUGGCAUCCCAACCUUGUGGCAGUGUGUACUUUUGAUAAUUGUGUCCAGGUCUUCAUGAUCUGUUCAUGA
rnacentral:lncRNA from 1 species